rnacentral:rRNA from 1 species
UACAGAGGGUGCAAGCGUUGUUCGGAAUUAUUGGGCGUAAAGCGCGUGUAGGCGGCUUUGCAAGUCGGGUGUGAAAGCCCUCAGCUUAACUGAGGAAGUGCGCCCGAAACUGCAGAGCUUGAAUACCGGAGAGGAUGGCGGAAUUCCCCAAGUAGAGGUGAAAUUCGUAGAUAUGGGGAGGAACACCAGUAGCGAAGGCGGCACUCUGGGCCGGUACUGACGCUGAGGAGCGAAAGCGUGGGGAGCAAACAGG